AAAGUGCUUUGGUAGCUAGCGAGGGCUUUGAGACGGCCGAGAGUUUGAGCGCCAAGGCUCUCUCUCCCCAGGGGACUCUGCAACCUGACUAGGUGCUCCUUCCCUGAGCAUAGUAACAUUCCAGGGAGCUGCCCGGGGAAGCUUAACGCUCGAUGCGGGUGGUAGGAAUGUAUCAUGGUGGGAGAGUCAUGGCAGCAGGCAGCUGGAACAGGACACUAAGUAAGAACACCUUCAACUACAAGCAGAAGUCAAGGAGAACUGAAAGUGACAACUGGAACCUUGAGAGCCAAGGGAGAUUGUGGAGAGGAUGUGAGCAGAUGGCCGCUGAGGAUAGCUGACCGGGUGGGUGGGCUGGAACCUAGGCCAGGACCUGCCACCUGAGGAUUGUGCCUGCGAUGUCCAUAUGAUUGUGAACAGCUAAACAGGGAGCUCUGCUCUGUUGAAAAUCAUAAAGUUGAAAAUGAAAAGAGAUAAAACCUUAAGCACAGAAGAAUAUUUUGUCUUUGGUGAAAAGAACAACUUAAGAUUAAUUUUAUUUUUAUGCUGUAUAUGCGUGUGGGUAUGUGCAUGCAAAUUUGGGUGACUCCAAAGGUCAGAGCAUCAAAUCACUUGGAGCUGGGAUUAUAGGCAAAUGAAAGCUGCCAAGCAUAGGAAUCUAACGAAUGUCCUCUGUAUGAGCAGAGAGUACUCCUUACUGCAGAGCCAUGUUUCCAGCUUAAGGAGGGCUUUUAGAAAGAAGAUUGAUAGAGAAUACAUACUUAAUAGUUUGAUGUACUAAAAAGGUUAAUUUUUAUUCACUAUAGACACUAGAAAUAAUAUUUACAAUUUAUAUAAUGCAUGUGAUUAUAGAACUAGAAGUAACAAUAUUAAAUAUAAAUAAAUUAUUGUAAGUCAGAUAAGAGAGAUGGAAACCCCAGUAGGAAAAACCCAUUAAAGUAACUAAAAUGUGGACAAAU
rnacentral:lncRNA from 1 species